rnacentral:rRNA from 1 species
GAUGAACGCUAGCUACAGGCUUAACACAUGCAAGUCGAGGGGAAACGACAUCGAAAGCUUGCUUUUGAUGGGCGUCGACCGGCGCACGGGUGAGUAACGCGUAUCCAACCUGCCCAUCACUUGGGAAUAACCUUGCGAAAGUAAGACUAAUACCCAAUGACAUCCCACGAAGACAUCUGAAUGGGAUUAAAGAUUUAUCGGUGACGGAUGGGGAUGCGUCUGAUUAGCUUGUUGGCGGGGUAACGGCCCACCAAGGCAACGAUCAGUAGGGGUUCUGAGAGGAAGGUCCCCGACAUGGGAACUGAGACACGGUCCAAACGCCCACGGGAGGAAGCAGUGGGGAAUAUUGGUCAAUGGGCGAGGGCCUGAACCAGCCAAGUAGCGUGCAGGAGGACGGCCCUAUGGGUUGUAAACUGCUUUUAUAAGGGAAAAAAGUGGGUCUCGUGAGACUUUUUGCAUGGACCUUAUGAAUAAAGACCGGCUAAUUCCGUG